rnacentral:rRNA from 1 species
ACUCCUACGGGAGGCAGCAGUGGGGAAUAUUGCACAAUGGGCGCAAGCCUGAUGCAGCCAUGCCGCGUGUAUGAAGAAGGCCUUCGGGUUGUAAAGUACUUUCAGCGGGGAGGAAGGUGUUGAGGUUAAUAACCUCAGCAAUUGACGUUACCCGCAGAAGAAGCACCGGCUAACUCCGUGCCAGCAGCCGCGGUAAUACGGAGGGUGCAAGCGUUAAUCGGAAUUACUGGGCGUAAAGCGCACGCAGGCGGUCUGUCAAGUCGGAUGUGAAAUCCCCGGGCUCAACCUGGGAACUGCAUUCGAAACUGGCAGGCUAGAGUCUUGUAGAGGGGGGUAGAAUUCCAGGUGUAGCGGUGAAAUGCGUAGAGAUCUGGAGGAAUACCGGUGGCGAAGGCGGCCCCCUGGACAAAGACUGACGCUCAGGUGCGAAAGCGUGGGGAGCAAACAGGAUUAGAAACCCCUGUAGUCCCAUG